rnacentral:rRNA from 1 species
GACGAACGCUGGCAGCGUGCUUAACACAUGCAAGUCGAACGGAAAGGCCCUGCUUUUGUGGGGUGCUCGAGUGGCGAACGGGUGAGUAACACGUGAGUAACCUGCCCUUGACUUUGGGAUAACUUCAGGAAACUGGGGCUAAUACCGGAUAGGAGCUCCUGCUGCAUGGUGGGGGUUGGAAAGUUUCGGCGGUUGGGGAUGGACUCGCGGCUUAUCAGCUUGUUGGUGGGGUAGUGGCUUACCAAGGCUUUGACAGGUAGCCGGCCUGAGAGGGUGACCGGCCACAUUGGGACUGAGAUACGGCCCAGACUCCUACGGGAGGCAGCAGUGGGGAAUAUUGCACAAUGGGCGGAAGCCUGAUGCAGCAACGCCGCGUGCGGGAUGACGGCCUUCGGGUUGUAAACCGCUUUCGCCUGUGACGAAGCGUGAGUGACGGUAAUGGGUAAAGAAGCACCGGCUAACUACGUG